UACGAAGGGGGCUAGCGUUGCUCGGAAUCACUGGGCGUAAAGGGUGCGUAGGCGGGUUUUUAAGUCAGAGGUGAAAUCCUGGAGCUCAACUCCAGAACUGCCUUUGAUACUGAAAGUCUUGAGUAUGGGAGAGGUGAGUGGAACUGCGAGUGUAGAGGUGAAAUUCGUAGAUAUUCGCAAGAACACCAGUGGCGAAGGCGGCUCACUGGCCCAUAACUGACGCUGAGGCACGAAAGCUAGGGGAGCAAACGGG
rnacentral:rRNA from 1 species